GAAUUGCAUCAGCUUUUGGCUCAGCGUGUCAGAAUGACUCAGCAUCUCAGAAGAAUGUGUUUCCAUUUUCUUUCCGGUUGGAAGAUGGAGUUGGUCACUUCUUGGAACACACUGAGCUUUGAGGAGACUGGUUUUCUAUGUGAAAUAUUGGCACCCAAUCUGCUGCUACAGAAGCCAACCCACUGAGGGCCCCAGCCGGACCCCAGGGACCCCAGCUGCACUCCUGCGGAUCACGAUGCACUCUUCCCUUUUUUGGACAUUGGGUGAAGCUCUUUGCUACUGCACAGCAAAAGGGGAUGCUAAUUCAGGCUGCGCAUGCAUUGGACCAAAUUCUGAUCUCAGACACCCACACAAUUCCUGUUGUAAGUCACAUGUGUGCACAUUUCUGACAGCAGGAUAUGCCCACUUGCACUGUCUUAAUGCAUCAGCAAGAGUGGUGAUUUUGUGGUGAAAAGUGGCCUUUUAACACAACAAAAGUGUAAAGAAAUUAUUUUGUAAAACUUGGGGGCGUAGGCAGACUGAUAAUGUUCCUCUAACUGAAUUCCAAUGGGUAAAAUAAAAAAAAAAAGGAAGCAAACCAAAGAUACUAAAACAAUUUUCUCACUUAAAAGGGAUUUUAAGAGAGACUGUCAAGCAUCCAGGGCAACUCUCUGCUUCCAAUAUGGGUUGAGGGACAUAUUUCAAUUUGAAAUUAGUUAGGGAGAUAUUUUAUAAUUUAUUCAAAUGGUCAUAUGGAAGAGCUUCAGCAUCAGCUCAAUUGUUAUUAUUUAAGCUUAAGGAACCAGACUGUAAUAGAUAAUUAGCAUAUGGAAAAAGCAGUACAGUGUUACAACUGAAAGUGUAGCUGGAAGUCAACACUAUUCAAAAUUUUUAAAAGAAAUAACUAUAAAAUCAUUUUUUAGAUGUGUGAAGGAAUAUACAAAUAUGUUCUCAUAAAUACCUUUUACCAGAUCUUAGGGAUACGUGAUAAUGAAAUAUUCUAAUAAUCAUUCUUAAAAGACAGGAAGAUAAUGCAAUCAGAAAGAGGUGAAUUUAACCUCCACUAAAUUGGUUUUGCUGUCAUACCAACAGAUCUCAGAGCAGGUUAGUUUACUUUGUUUUCCACAUUCCUAAUUUCACCUGUCUACUAGAAAUCAUCGUCUGUUCUUCCCAGUCUAAGUGGUUUCAGAAUGUUAGAAAAGUAAAUUAACAUAACUGGGAAAUAAGAU